AUGCAGACUCUCCCUGCAGCCCCCAGUGCACCAUCAGGAGUUUCUAAGUACAAAAUGAGACAAGACUGUUGUGGAAAAGUCAACUGGAGAGACCAGGUCAAAGGCCAAGCAGAAGAGGAAUUAGGCUUAAGACUGCACUGAGAGGGAACACUAGACCAUGGUGAGACAGUGCUCUGCAGGGAGUCUACCACUGUGAUGGUUAAUACUGAGUGUCAACUUGAUUGGAUUGAAGGAUGCAAAGUAUUGUUCCUGGGUGUGUCUGUGAGGGUGUUGCCAAAGGAGAUUAACAUUUGAGUCAGUGGGCUGGGAAAGGUAGACCCAGCCGUAAUCUAGGUGGGCACCAUCUAAUCAGCUGCCAGCACAGCUAGAAGAUAAAGUAGGCAGAAAAACAUGAAAACAUUAGACUGGCCUAGCCUCUGAGCCUACAUCUUUCUCCCAUGCUGGAUGCUCCCUGCCCUUGAACAUCAGACUCCAAGUUUUUCAGUUUUGGGACUGGGACUCACUAUCCUUGCUCCUCAGCUUGCAGACAGCCUAUUGUGGGACCUUAUGAUCAUGUGAGUUAAUACUUAAUACAUAAAUAUAUAUAUAUACACACACACAUAUACACACACACACACACAUAUAUAUAUACACACACACACACAUAUAUAUAUAUAUCUGUCCCUCUAGAGAACCCUGACUAAUACAACUACUAAUAAAAAUUGGGGCAAAAGACAUUGAUUGGGUAUUGUAAGUAGGUUAUGCUCACAGUAGCAAUAUCUCUUAAGACUUUUUAAAAGACUUCCUAAUAAAAGAGAUUUAAAAUACA
rnacentral:lncRNA from 1 species